AACGAACGUUAGCGGCGCGCCUAACACAUGCAAGUCGCACGAGAAAGGGAGCAAUCCCCGGUACAGUGGCGCACGGGUGAGUAACACGUAGGUAAUCUGCCUCCGAGUGGUGGAUAACCUUCCGAAAGGAGGGCUAAUACAGCAUGAGACCACGACCACGAGAGUGGAUGGGGUCAAAGCCGGCCUCUAUACAUAAGCUGGCGCUUGGAGAUGAGCCUGCGGCCCAUCAGCUAGUUGGUAGGGUAAUGGCCUACCAAGGCAAAGACGGGUAGCUGGUCUGAGAGGAUGAUCAGCCACACUGGAACUGAGACACGGUCCAGACUCCUACGGGAGGCAGCAGUGGGAAUCUUGCGCAAUGGGCGAAAGCCUGACGCAGCGACGCCGCGUGGGU
rnacentral:rRNA from 1 species